rnacentral:rRNA from 1 species
AUUGAACGCUGGCGGCAUGCCUUACACAUGCAAGUCGAACGGCAGCACGGGAGCAAUCCUGGUGGCGAGUGGCGAACGGGUGAGUAAUACAUCGGAACGUGCCCAGUUGUGGGGGAUAGCCCGGCGAAAGCCGGAUUAAUACCGCAUACGACCUAUGGGUGAAAGCGGGGAGUCGCAAGACCUCGCGCUACUGGAGCGGCCGAUGUCGGAUUAGCUUGUUGGNGGGGUAAAAGACCUACCAAGGCAACGAUCCGUAGCUGGUCUGAGAGGACGACCAGCCACACUGGGACUGAGACACGGCCCAGACUCCUACGGGAGGCAGCAGUGGGGAAUUUUGGACAAUGGGCGCAAGCCUGAUCCAGCCAUGCCGCGUGCGGGAAG